AUGGCUUUCCACCUAAGAUCGAUAAGUUUGCCUUCUAGGCCUCACAUCAGUGAGACGGAAGUCGAACAAGAGCUGCUGAGCCUAGAGGCUAGCAUCUCUUCCUCCAUUACCAUCGGCACAAUGUGCGAGGGUCUUAUGAGGCUUGGAAACAUCUACAAUGGUGUUGAAGAAAUCAUUGGCCUACCAAGCAACCAAGUUUGCUCCGCCCAGGAGAGGAAGAUGUUGGAUGGAGAAAUGGAAGGUUCUCUCGAGCUAGUAGAUCUCUGCAGCACCAUGCAAGAGAUCUUUGUCGAGAUGAAAGCCAUUAUCCAAGAGCUGCAAGUGGCACUAAGAAAAGGAGAUGAAGAAGCUUCUCAAGCCAAGAUCCAGUCUUACACUCUCUUGACGAAGAAGGCCAAGAAACAUUUCAAGAAGACCGCAUAG
rnacentral:rRNA from 1 species